UACAGAGGGGGCAAGCGUUAUUCGGAAUUAUUGGGCGUAAAGGGCGCGUAGGCGGCUUUGCAAGUGACGGGUGAAAGCCCUCGGCUUAACCGAGGAACUGCCUGUCAGACUGUAAGGCUUGAGACCGGGAGAGGUGAGUGGAAUUCCCAGUGUAGCGGUGAAAUGCGUAGAUAUUGGGAGGAACACCAGUGGCGAAGGCGGCUCUCUGGGACGGUACUGACGCUGAGACGCGAAAGCGUGGGGAGCGAACAGG
rnacentral:rRNA from 1 species